UACGUAGGGGGCAAGCGUUGUCCGGAUUUAUUGGGCGUAAAGAGCGUGUAGGCGGUUAGGUAGGUCCGUUGUGAAAACUCGAGGCUCAACCUCGAGACGCCGAUGGAAACCAUCUGACUAGAGUCCGGAAGAGGAGAGUGGAAUUCCUGGUGUAGCGGUGAAAUGCGUUGAUAUCGGAAGGAACGCCGGUGGCGAAAGCGACGUGCUGGAUCUCUUCUGACGCUGAGGCGCGAAAGCCAGGGGAGCAAACGGG
rnacentral:rRNA from 1 species